rnacentral:rRNA from 1 species
UUUAGGAGGUCGCGUCCCGGGGUCGGAUCCGGCAGCAAGUCCCCCUGACCGGGGCUGUUACCCAGAGCGGGUGCGAGGCCCAUAGUUGCCGAGUCCGCUCCGGAUGUGACCUCUUGGGAGUCGGGUUGCUUGGGAGUGCAAUCCUAAUCGGGUGGUAAACUCCACCUAAGACUAAAUACGGCCGUGAGACCGAUAGCAAACAAGUACCGUGAGGGAAAGUUGCAAAGAACUUUGAAGAGAGAGUUCAAGAGUACGUGAAACUGCUCAGAGGCAAACGGGUGGGCCCUCGAAAUCCUCUGGCGGGAGGAUUCAGUUAGGAGGGACGGAGGUGACGUGCGGUCGAUUCUAAUCGGACCCUUUCCGGGGCCGGGCCGCCGGCACGGUCUCUGUUCCGCCUGACGCAUUUCCUCCCGCACUAUGGACGCCGCAGCCGGUUGGGUAGCUGCGCGAGUCGGCCAUGAGGGCGGGCGACGGCAGUUGACCGGUGGGACAGUUUCGGCUGUCUCUGCCGGUUGUUAGCUGGUCCCGUCCGUGGCGCGACACCCGACCGAGGUUGUAGUUCCCCGUUUCCGGGGACACGCCGCCCCCUUCCUAGCGGGCGUUGGGAGCAAGCGUUUCUCGGUGUUUCGCCGCCCCACUCUUUCGUAGUGAGUGGCGCUCCGAGUUCGCUGUUGGCUUUCUUCGUCCCGCGUGGGGUGCACGCGGCUAGCGGCGAGUGAGUCGGUCACCACCCGACCCGUCUUGAAACACGGACCAAGGAGUCUAACAUGUGCGCGAGUCACGGGGUCUUGAUUAGGCCCAGAGGCGCAAUGAAAGUGAGGGUCGACCUCGUCGUCGGCUGCGUUGGGACUCUCCGGCCUUCGCGCCGGGGAGGCACCAACAAUCCGUCCUGUCCGAUUUAUCGGUUGGCCGGAACCGGAGCGUACACGUUGGGACCCGAAAGAUGGUGAACUAUGCCUGGGCAGGACGAAGCCAGAGGAAACUUC